GGGGGUAUAGCUCAGUGGUAGGGUGCAUGCUUAGCAUGCAUGAGGUCCUGGGUUCAAUCCCCAGUACCUCCA
rnacentral:tRNA from 1 species